UUGCCACCUGGCUGCGAAUACCGCCCUGUCCGGCCGAGGGUCUCGGAGAGGGUCAUCUCACACCUACCUCGGCGGCGUGGCUAUGCCACGUGCCCGCUCCCAUCCCACAGACUUUAUCCAGGCCCAGGGGCCAGCGCUGGGACUAAUAGAGAUGGCCAUCCUAAUCUUUGGAUGUUCCAACUCCCUGGUUUUUGUUGCUGAAACUCCUAUAUGUCCUGGCUCCUCCCUUACCUCUUCGGGGCAGUAUCUCAGAAUUUUCUGAGAUGCUGUAUCCUUGGCUUAAGUCUUCAGUUUUGUCGGCCAAAUAAAACAUAAUUCUCAA
ensembl:lncRNA